AUUGAACGCUGGCGGCAUGCCUAACACAUGCAAGUCGAGCGAGCGGCGGACGGGUGAGUAAUGUCUGGGAAACUGCCUGAUGGAGGGGGAUAACUACUGGAAACGGUAGCUAAUACCGCAUACCAUCAGAUGUGCCCAGAUGGGAUUAGCUAGUAGUUGGGGUAACGUCUCACCUAGGCGACGAUCCCUAGCUGGUCUGAGAGGAUGACCAGCCACACUGGAACUACGACGCGGUCAAGACUCGUACGUGAGGCAGCAGUGGGGAAUAGUGCAGAAGGGGCGCAAGCCUGAUGCAGCCAUGCCGCGUGUGUGAAGAAGACCUUCGGGUUGUAAAGCACUUUCAGCGGGGAGGCGUUACCCGCAGAAGAAGCACCGGCUAACUCCGUGCCAGCAGCCGCGGUAAUAC
rnacentral:rRNA from 1 species